AUAUCAAUAAGCGGAGGAAAAGAAACCAACAGGGAUUGCCUUAGUAACGGCGAGUGAAGCGGCAACAGCUCAAAUUUGAAAUCUGGCCCUUGGGUCCGAAUUGUAAUUUGUAGAGGAUGAUUUUGGUGCGGUAUCUUCCGAGUUCCUUGGAACAGGACGCCUUAGAGGGUGAGAGCCCCGUACGGUUGAAUGCCUAGCCUCUGUAAAUCUCCUUCGACGAGUCGAGUAGUUUGGGAAUGCUGCUCUAAAUGGGAGGUAAAUUUCUUCUAAAGCUAAAUAUUGGCCAGAGACCGAUAGCGCACAAGUAGAGUGAUCGAAAGAUGAAAAGCACUUUGAAAAGAGGGUUAAAUAGCACGUGAAAUUGUUGAAAGGGAAGGAUUUGUGACCAGACUUUUUCUGGGCGGAUCAUCCGGGGUUCUCUCCGGUGCACUUUGCCCAGUAAAGGCCAGCAUCGGUUUUCGGCGGGGGAUAAAAGCAGUAGGAAUGUGGCUCUCUACGGGGAGUGUUAUAGCCUAUUGUAUAAUACCCUGCUGGGGACCGAGGUACGCGCUUCUGCAAGGAUGCUGGCGUAAUGGUUAUCAAUCACCCGUCUUGAAACACGGACCAAGGAGUCGAACAUUUGUGCGAGUGUUUGGGUGUUAAACCCUCACGCGUAAUGAAAGUGAACGGAGGUGAGAGCCCUUACGGGUGCAUCAUCGACCGAUCCUGAAGUUUUCGGAUGGAUUUGAGUAAGAGCAUAACUGUUCGGACCCGAAAGAUGGUGAACUAUGCGUGGAUAGGGUGAAGCCAGAGGAAACUCUGGUGGAGGCUCGCAGCGGUUCUGACGUGCAAAUCGAUCGUCAAAUCUGCGCAUGGGGGCGAAAGACUAAUCGAACCAUCUAGUAGCUGGUUACCGC
rnacentral:rRNA from 1 species